GUGAUGACGAGGCACUACGGUGCUGAAGCAACAAAUGCCCUGCUUCCAGGAAAAGCCUCUAAGCAUCAGGUAACAUCAAAUCGUACCCCAAACCGACACAGGUGGUCAGGUAGAGAAUACCAAGGCGCUUGAGAGAACUCGGGUGAAGGAACUAGGCAAAAUGGUGCCGUAACUUCGGGAGAAGGCACGCUGACACGUAGGUGAAGUGAUUUACUCAUGGAGCUGAAGUCAGUCGAAGAUACCAGCUGGCUGCAACUGUUUAUUAAAAACACAGCACUGUGCAAACACGAAAGUGGACGUAUACGGUGUGACGCCUGCCCGGUGCCGGAAGGUUAAUUGAUGGGGUCAGCGCAAGCGAAGCUCCUGAUCGAAGCCCCGGUAAACGGCGGCCGUAACUAUAACGGUCCUAAGGUAGCGAAAUUCCUUGUCGGGUAAGUUCCGACCUGCACGAAUGGCGUAAUGAUGGCCAGGCUGUCUCCACCCGAGACUCAGUGAAAUUGAACUCGCUGUGAAGAUGCAGUGUACCCGCGGCAAGACGGAAAGACCCCGUGAACCUUUACUAUAGCUUGACACUGAACAUUGAGCCUUGAUGUGUAGGAUAGGUGGGAGGCUUUGAAGUGUGGACGCCAGUCUGCAUGGAGCCGGCCUUGAAAUACCACCCUUUAAUGUUUGAUGUUCUAACGUGGACCCGUGAUCCGGGUUGCGGACAGUGUCUGGUGGGUAGUUUGACUGGGGCGGUCUCCUCCUAAAGAGUAACGGAGGAGCACGAAGGUUGGCUAAUCCUGGUCGGACAUCAGGAGGUUAGUGCAAUGGCAUAAGCCAGCUUGACUGCGAGCGUGACGGCGCGAGCAGGUGCGAAAGCAGGUCAUAGUGAUCCGGUGGUUCUGAAUGGAAGGGCCAUCGCUCAACGGAUAAAAGGUACUCCGGGGAUAACAGGCUGAUACCGCCCAAGAGUUCAUAUCGACGGCGGUGUUUGGCACCUCGAUGUCGGCUCAUCACAUCCUGGGGCUGAAGUAGGUCCCAAGGGUAUGGCUGUUCGCCAUUUAAAGUGGUACGCGAGCUGGGUUUAGAACGUCGUGAGACAGUUCGGUCCCUAUCUGCCGUGGGCGCUGGAGAACUGAGGGGGGCUGCUCCUAGUACGAGAGGACCGGAGUGGACGCAUCACUGGUGUUCGGGUUGUCAUGCCAAUGGCACUGCCCGGUAGCUAAAUGCGGAAGAGAUAAGUGCUGAAAGCAUCUAAGCACGAAACUUGCCCCGAGAUGAGUUCUCCCUGAGACUUUAGGUCUCCUGAAGGAACGUUGAAGACGACGACGUUGAUAGGCCGGGUGUGUAAGCGCAGCGAUGCGUUGAGCUAACCGGUACUAAUGAACCGUGAGGCUUAACCUUACAACGCCGAAG
rnacentral:rRNA from 1 species